AUACUUUGGGGAUAAUUAUUCUGCCUUGGUGGUAACAACAAUUCCUUGAGGCAAAAAUAAUUUUUUAUUUUUGAAAAUGGAAAGGCUAUGAAAUUCAUGCCAAUUAAACAAGCAUUAUUACGAGUAGCAAACAGUAAGUGAUCAUAUGUAAUUUUUUAAGACUCAACAUAUUUUAAAGAUUGAUUGAGAAAAAUUAAAAUCAAUGGGUUGCCUCCCUUUCAAAGCUUGUUAUAAUGUCAUUAGGUCGGCACCUCAACCACAAUUAUGGUUUAUUAUAUGCAAGAAAGAACACAUAAUCUUUUCUCUUCCUCUUAUUUGGUACGAAUUUCAUGAAUUUGGCAUAGAUCGUAGAAAAUUCAAAGUUCGUAUCUUUCCCUCGGAAAGCUUUUAGAAUUUGUGGUCUCACAUCUUAUAGAAUAAUGAGACACGCUGCAAAUCAAUAUUCCUUUGAAUCUCAAAUUUCACGAAGUUUGAUAGAAUGGAAAGCUUGUCUACUUGCACCAUCACGUCCUCCACUACUACUCAUAUGAAUGUUUAGUUGUUUUAUUUCCAAAUCUUAGAAUAACGCUUAAUGGCUUCACCUCAACUCUUUCGAUAUUUCUUAGAAUCGAUAAUGGUAUCAAGUUAAUUUUUUCACCUUGAUCACACAAAGCUUUUCCUAUAUGGAUAGUUUCUCAAAAGAGUUGGAAUUUACUGGGUCUUUUUUCUCUGGAGGUAACCGUCUUGAAAAGAUAGAACUUCAACUUUUGGUUAGAGCAAUAGAUUCUUCACCCUUGAACUUCCUCUUUUUAUUUCAUAAACUUUACAUAGCAUCUUCUCAAGAGCUUUAGCCAAAGAUAUGUUGAUUUGAAGUCUAGUAAGCAACCCCAUAAAAAAUUUAAACUAUGUAUCAUGCUUCUCAUUCUUCUUGAGAUACGGGUAUGAUAACUUGAUGUAUUAUGAGAUGUUGUCAAGAUUCUUACUUUCU
rnacentral:lncRNA from 1 species